rnacentral:rRNA from 1 species
CAACUAGCGGUAGGGGAGUGUAGUAAAAGAGAAAAAAUUAAAGAAGUUAAACCGUGAGGAUUAAUGGAGCUUUUACUAGUAAGAAUGCCGGCGUGAGUAACGAUAGAAGGUGAGAAUCCUUCUGGCCGUAUGACCAAGGUUUCCAGGGUGAAGGUCGUCUACCCUGGGUUAGUCAGGACCUAAGGCGAGGCCGAAAGGCGUAGUCGAUGGAUAAUAGGUUAAUAUUCCUAUACUAAUCGUUAUCACUAAAGAAAUGACGGAGUCAGUUAAGCAAAACUAGUUAUUGAAUUCUAGUUUCUGUGAUACUUUGCUUCCAAGAAAAGUUUCUGAAGUUUUAGGACAAUGAUAGCGAUACCUGUACCAAGAACGAACACACGUGGUCGGGGAGAGUAUCCUCAGGCCAGCGAGAAAACUACAGUUAAGGAACUCGGCAACAGCACGAGCGACUGUUUAUCAAAAACACAGCUCUCUGCUAACUCGUAAGAGGAUGUAUAGGGGGUGCCGCCUGCCCAGUGCUCCAAGGUUAAGAGGAGGGGUCAACUAGCAAGCAAUUGCUGGUGAAGCUCUGAAUUGAAGCCCGAGUGAACGGCGGCCGUAACUAUAACGGUCCAAAGGUAGCGAAAUUCCUUGUCAGGUAAGUUCUGACCCGCAUGAAAGGCGUAACGACUCGUGCACUGUCUCGACUGUAGACUCGGUGAAAUCUUAGUACCGGUGAAGAUGCCGGUUACCCGCAACUAGACGGAAAGACCCCGUGGAGCUUUACUGCAACUUGAUAUUGGGUUUUUCUCUGCUCUGUACAGGAUAGGUGGGAGACUGUGAAGCCAAGGCGCCAGCUUUGGUGGAGUCGUCCUUGGGAUACCACUCUGAGUAGCGGAAAAUUCUAACUUGUUGGUUUACAGCCAAAAGGACAGUGUCUGGUGGGUAGUUUGACUGGGGCGGUCGCCUCCUAAAAAGUAACGGAGGUGUUCAUAAGGUAUCCUCAAUAGGUAUAGAAAUCCUAUGAUGAGCGCAAAGGCAGAAGGAUGCUUAACUGUGAGACUUACAAGUCGAACAGAUACGAAAGUAGGACUUAGUGAUCCGGCGGUUCUUAGUGGUAGGGCCGUCGCUAAACGGACAAAAGUUACCCCGGGGAUAACAGGCUAAUACUUUCCAAGAGUCCAUAUCGACGAAAGUGUUUGGCACCUCGACGUCGACUCAUCGCAUCCUGGAGGUGAAGAAGCUUCCAAGGGUUGGGCUGUUCGCCCAUUAAAGCGGUACGUGAGUUGGGUUUAGAACGUCGUGAGACAGUUUGGUCCCUAUCUGUUGUGGGCGUAGGAAAUUUGCGGAGAGCUGCUCCUAGUACGAAAGGACCGGAGUGGACUGACCAAUGAUGCACCAGUCGUCAUGUCAAUGGCACGGCUGGAUAGUUAUGUCGGGAAUAGAUAAGCACUGAAAGCAUAUAAGUGCGAAACCAACUCCAAGAUAAGAUUUCCCAUCCGUUAAGGAGUAAGAUACCUUCUAGACCAGGAGGUUGAUAGGUGGAAAAUGUAAGUACAGUAAUGUAUUAAGUUAAUCCAUACUAAUUCAUCGAGGACUUACUAAA